GCACAAUUUAGCCUUGCAGUAUUCGGUAAAUACAUAAAAAAGUGAGGAUUCCGAAUAUUUUGAAAGAAACUGGAGGAUGAUCUAAAAAUCAUGCUCCAAGAUGAUCGGCUAAUCGAUCCAGCUUUACUUUACGAGAUUGAUCACGAAUCAAUACGUUCGGAAGUCGAGAGUUUAUUUAUGCACGAAGGUGGUUGGACCAAAAGAGAUCUACAAGAAGACCUUGGUUCGAUCGAAACAGCUCUAGAGGAGGACCUGCAAGAUCAUCAAAGGAGAAACGAGAGAGAUGAACAAAUAGCACCCAAGAGAAAGCAUGGGCUUAUUCCCGCUCAAGGCAAGCGAAUCAAGACCACGUCGACUUCCGAUUCGACCGAUGGAGAAGAGAAUGAUCAAGAAACUUGCGACGGAAGCAAUUCGUAGAUUUUCUCUCUCCACCGAUGCCACUUUCAGCAUCACGACUCCUCCUCAUCUUCCUCCAUCCGACACCACCACCGAUCUCUGACGAAACGGAAAAUCACCACCUGCCGACGGAGGCGACGAGCGAAUCGACGGCUACGGAGACCGGCGAGUGGGAGGCGACGGACUACCACCACCGACCGAAGCCACGGAAACUGAAAAAGCAGCUUGGGGUGAACGAUUCUCUCUUGAGGUUUUGGGCUUCAUGCAAAUUGCUAUAGAUCAGCUCGAUUUUGAAUUCGAUUCGCAUGGCGCUACAAUUGCGCGGGAGCUUGAAGAAUGUGUCCGUGAAUUUGUUAGAGAGACGUUGGAUAAGGUGCUUCUUCGUAAGUUUAGUCUGGGGAUGCUUGGUGGUGAAUUCACUGGCAAUCGACAUUACACGCUGCAAAAUCAGCAACGAUCCCUAGAAGGUUGGGACUCCCUUACGCGAAUCCAGGCAUUGCAGCGGACAACCAGCCACAGUGGUGUUAAGGGGGGUUUGCUUUUGAGGUGUCUAGGGAAUGUGGAUAUGUAGUAUGUACAAUUCAUACAGAUGUGCAGCGGGUAAAAGGUUUUCCAGGACUAUUGAAUUGAGAUAAACUUCGAUCGCUGGGAUAGGGCUCUAUCUCCAUGUUUUAUGCGGCGCUUGAAGAGGCAAAACCAUUCAGUAAUGGAGGAGAUGCAGUGAGAUGGCAAGCCACCAGGAAAGGCAACAAGACAUGCAGAGAUGGAAGCUCUUGAUGUCCUUCAGGAACAGUGGCAGAGGACUGGAUCUUCAGCUACAGAAGUUGGAGAGAAGUUUUCAGCAUGCUCCCUUUACGUGACAUGUGAACCAUGCAUAUGUGUGCAGUAGCAUUAUCAAUCAUUGGUAUAAAGGAAGUAUAUUAUGGCUGUGCAAAUGAUAAAUUUGGAGACU